rnacentral:tRNA from 1 species
GAGUUGUGAGGUAUAAAUUGGUUUAUAAGAAAAAGGCAAAAAGUAAGGUAAAACGAACCGUUACAUUGACAUCGUAAAGGUCAGAGGUUCGAGCCCUCUAUCACUCACCA